UGUUUGUUAGUACAGUCUGUGUUAAGAGAAAAAUUCUAGAAUGCAACGGGUACAUUAGUGACGUGGCGUAACAAACCAAUCAAAUUAAUCCUUUUAAGAAUAUAUGUCCCAUCAUGAUUGUAAAAAGGUAUUUUUAUUGUACUUUUGUUUAAAAAGAAGGAAUGUGAUUGGCUUGUUAUUGAUGACGUGGUGUAAGUGUGACAGUGUAGAAUUCCUCGUGUUAAGUGUAUUUCUGAUCACUUCUAUCAGAUCAACUAUUAGCUAUCAUUUCAUGGAUUAAAUUCCAACAUUAUGU
rnacentral:lncRNA from 1 species